rnacentral:rRNA from 1 species
UACGGGGGGAGCAAGCGUUGUUCGGAUUUACUGGGCGUAAAGGGCGCGUAGGCGGCCACUACAAGUCACUUGUGAAAUCUCCGGGCUUAACUCGGAACGGUCAAGUGAUACUGUCGGGCUAGAGUGCGGAAGGGGCAACUGGAAUUCUCGGUGUAGCGGUGAAAUGCGUAGAUAUCGAGAGGAACACCUGCGGCGAAGGCGGGUUGCUGGGCCGACACUGACGCUGAGGCGCGAAAGCUAGGGGAGCGAACGGG